rnacentral:rRNA from 1 species
AAAUAGAUACCCCGGUAGUCCUGGCCCUAAACGAUGAAUGCUUGGUGUGGCGGGUAUCGAUCCCUGCCAUGCCGUAGUUAACGCGAUAAGCAUUCCGCCUGGGGAGUACGGUCGCAAGGCUAAAACUCAAAGGAAUUGACAGGGGCCCGCACGAGCGGUGGAGCAUGUGGUUCAAUUCGAGGCAACGCGAAGAACCUUACCAGCCCUUGACAUGGCAGGACGGUGUCCAGAGAUGGGCUCCUUCCCUUCGGGGACCUGCACACAGGUGCUGCAUGGCUGUCGUCAGCUCGUGUCGUGAGAUGUUGGGUUAAGUCCCGCAACGAGCGCAACCCUUGCCCUUAGUUGCCAUCAUUCAGUUGGGCACUCUAGGGGGACUGCCGGUGAUAAGCCGAGAGGAAGGUGGGGAUGACGUCAAGUCCUCAUGGCCCUUACGGGCUGGGCUACGACACGUGCUACAAUGGCGGUGACAGAGGGCAGCUACUCCGCAAGGGGAAGCGAAUCCCAAAAAGCCGUCUCAGUUCGGAUUGU